rfam:Schistosoma rodhaini strain Burundi genome assembly, scaffold: SROB_scaffold0000583
GUGAGAUGAAGAGUCCCAAAUAGGACGAAACGCGAGUUCUGGAU